UUUAUAAAAAAUGGUGCCUGACU
rnacentral:piRNA from 1 species